AUACCUUUCUCGGCCUUUUGGCUAAGAUCAAGUGUAGUAUCUGUUCUUAUCAGUUUAAUAUCUGAUAUGUGGUCUAUAGGAUCACACGAUAUUAACUUUAUUUUUUAAGGGUAAAGGUCCAUUGAGAUAGCUUGCUAUCUGGAUGGAUCUUUGUGAGUCGCUCAUGCGUGGCACUGCUGCAUGGGCCUGGCUCAGCCCGC